rnacentral:misc_RNA from 1 species
AAGUCGUAACAAGGUCUCCGUUGGUGAACCAGCGGAGGGAUCAUUACCGAAUGUUACCAAACAAAACCACUGUGAACCGUCCCUUUAGCUGCUUCGGCGGGCGAUCCCAGGGCGGGAAUCCCGGGCUCCUUCGGGGGUGCUCGCCGACGGCCACUUUCCAAGCUCUGUUUCCAGCGGGCUUCUGAGUGUAAAACAAAAAUAUCAAAACUUUCAACAACGGAUCUCUUGGCUCUG